UACAGAGGGGGCAAGCGUUGUUCGGAAUUACUGGGCGUAAAGGGCGCGUAGGCGGCCUGUUAAGUCGAACGUGAAAUCCCCGGGCUCAACCCGGGAACUGCGUCCGAUACUGGCAGGCUUGAAUCCGGGAGAGGGAUGCGGAAUUCCAGGUGUAGCGGUGGAAUGCGUAGAGAUCCGGAAGAACACCGGAGGCGAAGGCGGCUUGCUGGGCGUGAUCUGACGCUGAGGCGCGAAAGCGUGGGGAGCGAACAGG
rnacentral:rRNA from 1 species